UACAGAGGGUGCAAGCGUUAAUCGGAAUUACUGGGCGUAAAGCGUGCGUAGUCGGUUAUUUAAGUCGGGCGUGAAAGCCCCGGGCUCAACCUGGGAAUUGCGUUCGAUACUGGAUAGCUAGAGUUCGGCAGAGGGAAGCGGAAUUUCUGGUGUAGCGGUGAAAUGCGUAGAUAUCUGGAGGAACACCGGUGGCGAAGGCGGCGUUCUGGACUGCAACUGACACUGAUAAACGAAAGCCAGGGGAGCAAACGGG
rnacentral:rRNA from 1 species